rnacentral:rRNA from 1 species
UUACCCAGGCUUGAACAGCGAGGGACCAUUCCCGAAAGGGAACUUCCGCAAGGACUCUCGUAGAGGUGCUGCAUGGCUGUCGUCAGCUCGUGUCGUGAGAUGUUGGGUUAAGUCCCGCAACGAGCGCAACCCUUGUUUGCUGUUGCCAUCACGUUAUGGUGGGCACUCUGCAAAGACUGCCGGUGAUAAACCGGAGGAAGGUGGGGAUGACGUCAAGUCAGCAUGGCCUUUAUGUCUGGGGCUACACACGUGCUACAAUGGCCGGUACAAACCGUCGCAAAACCGUAAGGUCGAGCUAAUCGGACAAAGCCGGUCUCAGUUCGGAUUGUAGGCUGCAACUCGCCUGCAUGAAGUUGGAAUCGCUAGUAAUCGCGGAUCAGCACGCCGCGGUGAAUACGUUCCCGGGCCUUGUACACACCGCCCGUCACAUCACGAAAGCCGGUUGUACUAGAAGUCGCCAUACCAACCCGCAAGGGAGGGAGGCGCCUAAGGUAUGGUCGGUGAUUGGGGUGAAGUCGUAACAAGGUAAGCGUAGUGCU